ensembl:lncRNA
GAGACAGUCCUGUAGCCAGAAGCUUUCUCCAGACAUUAUGUACAACAUACGGCUGGAUUCUUUAGCUGCAGAAAAAGAGUGGCAGGACAUGCGAAUUAUUGGACAUUUAGAGGCAAACAAACGCACAGUGCAAACUUCGGAGAUGGUAACAUCCACAAAGAAGACCCCGACAAAGAGAAAGUGUGCCCGAACGACUUAUUUCAUUGGAGGCAACGAGAUCUGCUAGAAUACUUUUCUGUUUCUUAUGGGGUUGGAACAAACGUGGAAUUCCUUAACUGAGCAGAGUCCACAAAACCCCAUCCAUUUGUCAUGCCGAUUUGAAAAUGCCAGCAGAUCUCCUAGGUAUUGAUCAUAAUCAAUGGACAGGUCACCGUAGCCACCCGGAUCCAGUCAGUAUCCAGAUCAGAUGGUGAAUCAGCACCUAAGGAUGACCUCUACAGCCCUGAAUGUCAGCCGAGACCAGGACAACUAGAUGAGCCCCAGAGACAGAUCCCCAGUAAAGACCUUGUCUCCUAGAUGGCUGUCGACACAAGACCACAAGAACCAGAUGAGUCCACUGCACAAUCAGACUCUGCUGCAGCCUGGAAUUGAACUGCUGGUUUCGACUGGUCAGAAGAGAACUGGCCCCCGGACUGAGCCUGGAUUCUCCCAAGGCUUUUUCUUCAUUCUGUCAUCAAUGGAGUUUUGCUUCCUUGCCACUGUCGCCUCUGGCUUGCUUAGUUGGGGACACUUAAUAUCCAGCGAUAUCGUCGACUUGAUUGCACGGAUACUAUUUGAACUGGACUGAGCUGGAUGAUAAAUCACUGAAUCAAUGAUGAACUGACUUUAACUGAAAAUUUUGUAUUUACUGUUGUCCUUUUGCAUUAUUACACACUAUUUUCCUAUUUAAUACUGUAAAGCUGCUUUGAUGCUGUGUUUUUUAAAAUAUGACAGACCCAUUACUCAUAAUACAUGGAAAAUACAGUUGCAAAUGCACUUUACUUUUACAUUUUAAAUUUGGCAGUCACUGUGCAUUUGUGAAAUGCAAACAGUAAUGCAAGAUUUGCAAAUGUGUUUGGAUUAUGUCACAAUUUGUCACAUGUAGAAAACACAAUUGAAAAUAUAAUUUGCAAUUCCUUUUGAAAAUUGUUUGGAAUAUCCUUCCAUAAAUGGGCUCUAUAGCAGAGCACACUGCCCUCAGCUGUAGAUCUUUGCUCCAAAGCUUUCUAACUGUUUGACGAAAGUUCACCCAAAAAUAACUUGUGUUUCAAAGAUGAAUGAAGGUCUUACAGAUUUGUAAUGACAUGAGGGUGAAUAAUAAAUGACAGAAUUUUCAUUUUUGGGUGAACUAUACGUUGAACUACCGUAAGCAGUGCGCAUCUACCUAGGAGUCUUUAUAUACUUUAUAUAAAUUUUAGGACAUCUUUAAAUGAUUUUGCAUUCUCCGUCUUUUUAAAUUUUAAUUGUCAGUGUCAUUUCACUGUUUUUUUUUAAAUAGGUAAACAUGUCAAAAUGUAAUAGUUAAACAGUUAGACAGACACAUGUCAUUUCGAAC